rnacentral:rRNA from 1 species
GAACUGCGAUAACUGGUGUGAGUUGCACGCUUCUCUAAUCUAACACCAAGCGAAUCAUCGAGUCUUUGAACGCAAACGGCACCCUUCCAGUCCAUUCCAAAGCGGUGGCGGCGGAUGAAGACAAGGGUAUCUCUGGUUGAGUGCAAUGAAACUUGAUCCAGGUCGACGUUGUCGGCCCUGGGGGAUUGGGCUUGCUCGCUCGAGUGAGAGUGGGCUUGCUUCAAAAUCAUUGCGUGUCGUUGGGGCCCUAUUGCAACCUGUAGGAAAAUGAUCGUGCAGCGUCGUUUGGGCCUCGACGGACGGCGACACAAAUUCUUUGUGCACGUUGCCUCAGAUCAGAGAAGACUACCCGCUGGACUUAA